rnacentral:lncRNA from 1 species
GAGAGACACCACAUAGGAGUUUGCACAUUUGUAGAAAAAAAAAAACUAGUCAUAAAACUGCAUUUUUUUAUCAUCUAGCAUUUAAAGAUUCAUUGUUAUUCUUCACUAAUUAACAUAUUAAAUUAAGCCAAGAUACGAGACUGGUAAAAUUCUACCAAUCUACAUAAAAACAGAAAAAAAUAUUUAAAAGUAAAAUGAGACGGUUAGUCAUGUUACAUUCCAAAACCCACAGCCCAUUAUAUUAAAUGCGUUCUUUCUACAGGAAUGAUGUUCUUUAUAACAGAUGGAUUGCAAGUAUUUUACUGCUAGACACUCCAUUACAUUGGAUAGUGUGACUGGAACCUGUGGAUGGUGAAAUCUUGAGGUUUGUCCAAGUUUCAAUGUAAGGUGUCCAAGGUCCUCUCCCAGAACCAUGUUUUGGAAAAAAAUUCACACAGAUUAAGUUCUUAUGACUUUUUUUUUUUCAAUCUUUUCUUGGCUUUCUGUUUCUGGGUGAUCUAUUCACAGUUUCCUCCUCCUCUGAUGCAUGUUUCCUGUCCUCCUCUUCCUCUUCUUCCUCCUCUUCCUCUUGACUAGCACUUCCUAUGUCAGCAUCAUUUUUCUGCUUCUCUUCUAGCUUCUCCUCAUUUGCUUCCUCCUCUUCUUCCUUGUCUCCUUUGUCUUUUUCUUCCUCUCUCUCAUCACUCACCACAUCAGGCUGAGGAGCAUCAGUCUUUUUGUACUCUGCAGCACUUGGCUGCUUCUUCCCAGAGCAGCAGAAAAGGACAACAAGGAACACUGGGAAAGCCACAAUGAGGAUGUACACUACCCAAAGCCAAGGACGCUCUUCAGCAGCUGCCAUCAUCUGGCCCACAACACCAGGCUGUAAGAUACAGUGAACCAUUAAAACCAAGCGAGUCACAGCAGUUAAGUCUGAAUCAUAGAUUUUUUUUCUGUGGUAUCUAUAGGCUUUUGGUAUCCCCAGACAUGGCAUUUCAUACUUUAAAAAGUUAAAGCUAAUCCAAGUACUUUUUCCCCUUAGUUUCUAAGUUAACAAUUAGCAUACAGUUAACAGAACUGUCAGAGCAAAAACCUUAGAGACUAGUGAACUCUCAUUGCCAUUAAUGGCAACUAUUACCAUA